rnacentral:rRNA from 1 species
ACGGCGAGUGAGCGGCAAAAGCUCAAAUUUGAAAUCUGGUACCUUCGGUGCCCGAGUUGUAAUUUGGAGAGGGCAACUUUGGGGCCGUUCCUUGUCUAUGUUCCUUGGAACAGGACGUCAUAGAGGGUGAGAAUCCCGUGUGGCGAGGAGUGCGGUUCUUUGUAAAGUGCCUUCGAAGAGUCGAGUUGUUUGGGAAUGCAGCUCUAAGUGGGUGGUAAAUUCCAUCUAAAGCUAAAUAUUGGCGAGAGACCGAUAGCGAACAAGUACAGUGAUGGAAAGAUGAAAAGAACUUUGAAAAGAGAGUGAAAAAGUACGUGAAAUUGUUGAAAGGGAAGGGCAUUUGAUCAGACAUGGUGUUUUGUGCCCUCUGCUCCUUGUGGGUAGGGGAAUCUCGCAUUUCACUGGGCCAGCAUCAGUUUUGGUGGCAGGAUAAAUCCAUAGGAAUGUAGCUUGCCUCGGUAAGUAUUAUAGCCUGUGGGAAUACUGCCAGCUGGGACUGAGGACUGCGACGUAAGUCAAGGAUGCUGGCAUAAUGGUUAU